rnacentral:lncRNA from 1 species
GAGAUUGUUACUGAAAUCAGGAAAAGAGGUAAACCUCCUAAUCUGGUCAUUAAACUUGAUAUGAUGAAGGCAUAUGACAGAGUGGAAUGGAUACUUUUGAUGCUAGUCCUAAGGAAAAUGAGAUUUGGUGAGAAAUUGUGUCAUGACCCAAACUAGGGCCUGGCUGUGACGGACAUCCCGAACCAAGAAGGCUCGGGUGUCCUACUCUAUCCG